rnacentral:rRNA from 1 species
UACGAAGGGGGCUAGCGUUGCUCGGAAUCACUGGGCGUAAAGCGCACGUAGGCGGCUUGUUAAGUCAGGGGUGAAAUCCUGGAGCUCAACUCCAGAACUGCCUUUGAUACUGGCAAGCUUGGAGUCCGGGAGAGGUAAGUGGAACUGCGAGUGUAGAGGUGAAAUUCGUAGAUAUUCGCAAGAACACCAGUGGCGAAGGCGGCUCACUGGCCCGGUACUGACGCUGAGGUGCGAAAGCGUGGGGAGCAAACAGG